UACGUAGGGGGCAAGCGUUGUCCGGAAUCAUUGGGCGUAAAGCGCGCGUAGGCGGCCCGGUAAGUCCGUUGUGAAAGUCAAAGGCUCAACCUUUGAACGCCGAUGGAUACUGCCGGGCUAGAGUCCGGAAGAGGCGAGUGGAAUUCCUGGUGUAGCGGUGAAAUGCGCAGAUAUCAGGAGGAACACCUAUUGCGAAGGCAGCUCGCUGGGACGUAACUGACGCUGAGGCGCGAAAGCGUGGGUAGCAAACAGG
rnacentral:rRNA from 1 species